AGUGAACGCUGGCGGUAGGCCUAACACAUGCAAGUCGAACGGCAGCACAGUAAGAGCUUGCUCUUACGGGUGGCGAGUGGCGGACGGGUGAGGAAUACAUCGGAAUCUACUUUUUCGUGGGGGAUAACGUAGGGAAACUUACGCUAAUACCGCAUACGACCUACGGGUGAAAGCAGGGGGUCUUCGGACCUUGCGCGAUUGAAUGAGCCGAUGUCGGAUUAGCUAGUUGGCGGGGUAAAGGCCCACCAAGGCGACGAUCCGUAGCUGGUCUGAGAGGAUGAUCAGCCACACUGGAACUGAGACACGGUCCAGACUCCUACGGGAGGCAGUAGUGGGGAAUAUUGGACAAUGGGCGCAAGCCUGAUCCAGCCAUACCGCGUGGGUGAAGAAGGCCUUCAGGUUGUAAAGCCCUUUUGUUGGGAAAGAAAAGCAGCAGGUUAAUACCCCGCUGUUCUGACGGUACCCAAAGAAUAAGCACCGGCUAACUUCGUG
rnacentral:rRNA from 1 species